rnacentral:tRNA from 1 species
AUCUAGGUAGCUUAAUUGAGAGUACUACAUUGAAGAUGUAGUGGUGUAUACAAUAUACUUUAGAUA